rnacentral:rRNA from 1 species
UACAUGGGGUGCAAACGUUGCUCGGAAUUAUUGGGCGUAAAGCGCGCGCAGGCGGUCGAUCAAGUCGAGUGUGAAAGCCCCCGGCUCAACUGGGGAGGGUCAUUCGAUACUGAUCGACUCGAAGGCAGGAGAGGGUAGUGGAAUUCCCGGUGUAGUGGUGAAAUGCGUAGAUAUCGGGAGGAACACCAGUGGCGAAGGCGACUACCUGGCCUGUUCUUGACGCUGAGGCGCGAAAGCUAGGGGAGCAAACGGG